ensembl:lncRNA novel transcript
AGAACUGCCUGCAGUUCCUCCCAGCAGCCACCUUCUUCCUUCUGCCAAUGCGACUCUUCUCCUUCUGGGGUUCUUUGGCUGAGACUGGGCCAGUGAGCAGCUGAGACUGGAGAUGGGUGAGAGCUGGAACAUCUGCUGCUUCUUUUGGAAAGGGGUAAAGAAAAGGUUUAUAUGCUGCCAAAGCACCACUGUCUACUAAGUUUUUGAGGAAACCAUAUUGCUAGAGAAACUGCAAGCCUGAGCAGCCUCCAAUUGUUGAAGACUUACAUCCAUCUUGGACCUCCAAACAUUCAUAAGCAGGAAGCAGGCCUCAAAAACUAUGGCCCCCAAAUGAGGGCUUGUUCCCCAACCCCCACUUUAGACAUGGAGAAGAAGAAUAAUGGACAAGGAGGCUCCUCCCAGAAGGAUCCAAGGACCCCUGAGGUUGGUGGACAAUGGACUUCCAGCACAGAUUGGAAUCAGAACACAAUCAAGGACACUGUCUCUCCAAUAGAAACUCUUCCUAUGUCUGCCCAGAGUAAUUCCUUAACUGUGAUGGACAAAGAGCUGUGGCAUCAUUGCUUUCCAUUUUUUGAAUGAAAGUUAUGGUGCAGUAAUCCUUUCCCUGCUCCAGCAGGUGAGGGGGUGGCAGAGAGGGGCCAAUAAUUUGUCAUUUUGUUCCUAGAUUGCCAGACCAAGAGGAGCUAUGUCUUGGUCUGCAAAAAAGAACCAGACAUUGCCACAAAUCCUGGGCUUGAGCUGAAUGCAGGGACUGGUGGGUUUCUCUGUUGUGUCCCUUGGAGAGGGAGUGAAGACUUCUUAUGCAGUGCCUCUCAACAUAUUCUAACCUUCCUGCCUGCUAGGCUUGCCAUGUGUUGUGUUCCAGACAGUAAAAUUUAAGCAGAAGUUCUGACUUUCUUACUGCUGGGCUAAGGUAGUUACGUACUAGUGUACUAGUGUGUCUCCCCACAAUGAACCUCCCACCUUCUUCCCACAAAGCCCAAGGGAUAAAAUUCAGGGCAAAUUAGAAUCCAAAAGAAGGAGCCACAAAGUGGAAGAAACCUGGAUGCCUGAGUCACUAUGUGGGGAAAACACCAACUAAAAAGCUUUAUGUGAUCCACAUUUGAUAUGAGUGAGAAAUAAAUUUUUGAUUGUUUUAGGCCAUUGAUAUUUUGAGAUUGCAACAACAGCUAGUAUAAGUUAGCCCAAUGCUUUAGGAAAACGUCUAUUUGUUUAUCUAAUCUAUGAAGAUCACUGACUCAUUACUCUGUUUUGUUUUCUUAAUGAACACAAUAUACCAUGUGGGUAAGAGAUAAGGGGAAGGGGUGGAGGGGGGAUUUGGAGCCAGAAGACAAGAAGUUCUCUCUUUGCCUAUUCAUGCGUAUUUAGUAAAUUAACAUUUCCAUGCUGGGUCAUGAUUAUUUUCCCUGACCCUGCCCAGAAGAAAGCAAUCUCCAACUGUAUACUCACUGGCAUUUUGCUUUCAGGGAUACCGUUUUGUAAUUGGGCUCGGUUCAGUCCUCAUGGUCUGAAGAGAAAAUGAUAUACCAUGCUUUAAUAAGAGAUGUUCUGUCUUUAGUGCAAGACCCAGCCCACUGUUUGUAAUAAACUCUGAAGUCUG